ACAGAGGGGGCAAGCGUUGCUCGGAAUCACUGGGCGUAAAGGGCGCGUAGGCGGGAUGGCAAGUCGGUCGUGAAAUCCCUGGGCUCAACUCAGGGGGGUCGGCCGAUACUGCCGUUCUUGAGGGAUGCAGAGGAGACUGGAAUUCCCGGUGUAGCGGUGAAAUGUGUAGAGAUCGGGAGGAACACCGGUGGCGAAGGCGGGUCUCUGGGCAUUCCCUGACGCUGAGGCGCGAAAGCGUGGGGAGCAAACGGGA
rnacentral:rRNA from 1 species